UGCAGCAGGCGGAGCUGCCGGUGGUGGAUCACGAGCACUGCACCCAGCUCGACUGGUGGGGGCCCGUGGCCAUCCGCAACACCAUGAUCUGUGCCGGCGGCGCCGAGAAGGCCGGGUGCAACGGCGACUCGGGGGGCCCCCUGAACUGCCAGGCCGAGGAUGGCACGUGGGAGGUCCACGGCAUCGCCAGCUUCGUGUCCGCCCUGGGCUGCAACGCCGAGAAGAAGCCGACUGUGUUCACCAGGGUGUCCGCCUUCGAGGACUGGAUCGCACAGACCAUAAGGGACAACUGAGCGUGGCAGCGUCAUCGUCACCGACCGCCUGGCCUGGCACCAGGCAAAUAAACCACAGGCCCUGCA